GACAGAGGGUGCAAACGUUGUUCGGAAUUACUGGGCGUAAAGCGCGUGUAGGCUGCUUCGCAAGUCGGAUGUGAAAGCCCUGGGCUCAACCCAGGAAGUGCAUUCGAAACUGCAGAGCUGGAGUCCUGGAGAGGAAGGCGGAAUUCUCGGUGUAGAGGUGAAAUUCGUAGAUAUCGAGAGGAACACCGGUGGCGAAGGCGGCCUUCUGGACAGUGA
rnacentral:rRNA from 1 species